rnacentral:tRNA from 1 species
GCCGAGAUGGCGGAAUAGGUAGACGCGUAGGUCUCAAAAACCUAUGGAGGCAACUUCAUGAGGGUUCGAUUCCCUCUCUCGGCA